GACGAACGCUGGCGGCGUGCCUAAUACAUGCAAGUAGACCUGAGUUGCGAACGGGUGAGUAACGCGUAGGAACCUGCCUCAUAGCGGGGGAUAACGUCCGGAAACGGGCGCUAAUACCGCAUACUAUCAGAUGAGCCUAGGUCGGAUUAGCUAGUUGGGGGGGUAAAGGCCUACCAGGGCGACGAUCCGUAACUGGUCUGAGAGGAUGAUCAGUCACACUGGAACUGAGACACGGUCCAGACUCCUACGGGAGGCAGCAGUGGGGAAUAUUGGACAAUGGGCGAAAGCCUGAUCCAGCCAUGCCGCGUGUGUGAAGAAGGUCUUCGGAUUGUAAAGCACUUUCAGCGGGGAGGCGUUACCCGCAGAAGAAGCACCGGCUAACUCCGUGCCAGCCGCCGCGGUAAUAC
rnacentral:rRNA from 1 species